AGCAGCCGCGGUAAUUCCAGCUCCAAUAGCGUAUAUUAAAGUUGUUGCAGUUAAAAAGCUCGUAGUUGAAUUUCGGGGUUAGUAGGUUGGUCAUGCCUCUGGUAUGUACUGGUCUCACUGAUUCCUCCUUCCUGAUGAGCCGUAAUGCCAUUAAUUUGGUGUUGCGGGGAAUUUGGACUGUUACUUUGAAAAAAUUAGAGUGUUUAAAGCAAGCUAACGCUUGAAUACAUUAGCAUGGAAUAAUGAAAUAGGACGUUCGAUCCUAUUUUGUUGGUUUCUAGGAUUGACGUAAUGAUUAAUAGGGGUAGUUGGGGGCAUUAGUAUUCAAUUGUCAGAGGUGAAAUUCUUGGAUUUAUUGAAGACUAACUACUGCGAAAGCAUUUGCCAAGGAUGUUUUCAUUAAUCAAGAACGAAAGUUAGGGGAUCGAAGACGAUCAGAUACCGUCGUAGUCUUAACCAUAAACUAUGCCGACUAGGGAUCGGAUGAUGUUAAUUUUUUAAUGACUCA
rnacentral:rRNA from 1 species